ensembl:lncRNA
AUGUUUCUUAGGAUAUGGGAGGUGCAAAGACAAAAAUGAAGCAGUUCCUACUCUUAAGAACUUGGACAGGAUGAUAUAGAAAGAUGGAUUAAACUUUAAGGGAAGAAAGGUUGCUGAAUGAUGAUUGCCAGAGAGUCUACAAGUGAAAUUGGCUAAUACCUGAAGAAUGUUGUCGCUUUCCAUCUGACUCAUUUGGCUCAUCGAAGGAAAUGUUCCUAGUGUGAAUAAUAAUGCCUCCUGUCAUAAUGAGAAUUGGCCUCAUUACAUUUGAAUCAGGAUUGUCACAUCGGUUAGAGAAUGCCAAGCUACUCCUGGUGAAUUCAAGUCAGCGGACACAGAUGAACUAUAUCCCAGUAUACUAAAAGAAACAAACAAACCCCCAAACUGAAUGAUGUCAUUGUUUAACCACUUAUCCACUAUCAGUGAUCUCUAAAAUAUCAUGGAGAAAGAAAGAAAUGUUGUGGAAUUGAAGAAGAGAAAAUAUUGUCCUCAUUACCAAGAGAGGGACAGUCUGAAAAAUGAAGACCAGUGAUUUCUUUAAUUCAAUUCCUGUCAAAGUUCUAGAAUGUAUUAUUAAAAGGGCAAUCAAUUAACAUCCAGAAAAAGGAAGGACUAAUAUGGCAUCAUCAAGAUCAGGCUAUGAUAGCCUAAAAUGAUUUCCUUUGUUGUCAUGAUUUCUAAGUAGGUAAGAAAGGCAAUAAAGUAGCGGGUAGAAAGAUGACUUUGGAACCA